CCGCUCCCAGGCGGUCACUUCACGCGUUAGCUACGUUACCAAGUCAAUGAAGACCCAACAACUAGUUGACAUCGUUUAGGGCGUGGACUACCAGGGUAUCUAAUCCUGUUUGCUCCCCACGCUUUCGUGCAUGAGCGUCAGUAUUGGCCCAGGGGGCUGCCUUCGCCAUCGGUAUUCCUCCACAUCUCUACGCAUUUCACUGCUACACGUGGAAUUCUACCCCCCUCUGCCAUACUCUAGCCCGCCAGUCACAAAUGCAGUUCCCAGGUUAAGCCCGGGGAUUUCACAUCUGUCUUAGCGGACCGCCUGCGCACGCUUUACGCCCAGUAAUUCCGAUUAACGCUUGCACCCUACGUAUUACCGCGGCUGCUGGCACGUAGUUAGCCGGUGCUUAUUCUUCCGGUACCGUCAUCCUCCCGCCGUAUUAGGGCAGAAGUUUUCUUUCCGGACAAAAGUGCUUUACAACCCGAAGGCCUUCUUCACACACGCGGCAUUGCUGGAUCAGGCUUUCGCCCAUUGUCCAAAAUUCCCCACUGCUGCCUCCCGUAGGAGUCUGGGCCGUGUCUCAGUCCCAGUGUGGCUGGUCGUCCUCUCAGACCAGCUACAGAUCGUCGCCUUGGUAGGCCUUUACCCCACCAACUAGCUAAUCUGCCAUCGGCCGCCCCUGUAGCGGGAGGUCCUAAGAUCCCCCCCUUUUCUCCGUAGAGCGUAUGCGGUAUUAAUCCGGCUUUCGCCGGGCUAUCCCCCACUACAGGACACGUUCCGAUGUAUUACUCACCCGUUCGCCACUCGCCACCAGGAUUGCUCCCGUGCUGCCGUUCGACUUGCAUGUGUAAGGCAUGCCGCCAGCGUUCAUCUGGGGCGGGGUCCUCCCUCUUA
rnacentral:rRNA from 1 species